ACCAGUGUGGUGUAGUGGUUUGAACAUUGGACUACAACUCUAGAGACCAGGGUUUGAUUCACAGCUUAGUCA